UACGUAGGUGGCAAGCGUUGUCCGGAAUUAUUGGGCGUAAAGCGCGCGCAGGCGGUCCUUUAAGUCUGAUGUGAAAGCCCACGGCUCAACCGUGGAGGGUCAUUGGAAACUGGGGGGACUUGAGUACAGAAGAGAAGAGUGGAAUUCCACGUGUAGCGGUGAAAUGCGUAGAGAUGUGGAGGAACACCAGUGGCGAAGGCGACUCUUUGGUCUG
rnacentral:rRNA from 1 species